rnacentral:tRNA from 1 species
GCCAUCGUGGUGCAGUGGUUAAGCGCUCGGCUGCUAACUGAAAGGUUGGUGGUUUGAACCCACCCAACAGCU